CAUAUGCUUGUUUCAAGGACUUAGCCAUGCAUGCCUCAGAAUCACUGCACUUGCAGGAAUCUGCGCAUGGCUCAUUACAUCAGACGUAAUCUGCCGCAAAAACCUUGCGGUUUCCGCAACAAUGGAUAACUUGGCGAAACGCCAAGCUAAUACAUGAACCAACCGGGCGUCCUCCAGACUGUGAGGCGCCUAGCGAAUGAAUGCUAGUAAAACCAAUGCCUUCGGUGGCAGUAACACCCAGAAGUGUUGACUCAAUUCAUUCCGUGCGAAAGCCGGGUGACCCGGCGUCUUUUGACGAACAACUGCCCUAUCAGCUAGUGAUGGCCGUGUAGUGGACUGCCAUGGCGUUGACGGGAGCGGGGGAUUAGGGUUCGAUUCCGGAGAGGGAGCCUGAGAAAUAGCUACCACUUCUACGGAGGGCAGCAGGCGCGCAAAUUGCCCAAUGUCAAGACAAAACGAUGAGGCAGCGAAAAGAAAUAGAGAUGUCAGUCCACUUUGGAUUGUCACUUCAAUGGGGGAUAUUUAAACCCAUCCAAAAUCGAGUAACAAUUGGAGGACAAGUCUGGUGCCAGCACCCGCGGUAAUUCCAGCUCCAAGAGCGUAUAUUAAUGCUGUUGCUGUUAAAGGGUUCGUAGUUGAACUGGGGGCCGUGCAGGGUGUAUUUCUGGGAAGUCCCGUCCACGUCGGAUCGGUUGGCCCCGGACCCUUGCGGCUCGUGAACACACAUUCGACACAAGAAACACGGGAGUGGUUCCUUUCCUGAUUCACG
rnacentral:rRNA from 1 species